rnacentral:rRNA from 1 species
GUGCCAGCAGCCGCGGUUAUACGAAGGGGGCUAGCGUUGCUCGGAAUGACUGGGCGUAAAGGGUGCGUAGGCGGCGAGAUAAGUCAGGCGUGAAAUUCCUGGGCUCAACCUGGGGACUGCGUUUGAGACUGUUUGGCUAGAGGAUGGAAGAGGCUCGUGGAAUUCCCAGUGUAGAGGUGAAAUUCGUAGAUAUUGGGAAGAACACCGGUGGCGAAGGCGGCGAGCUGGUCCAUUACUGACGCUGAGGCACGAUAGCGUGGGGAGCAAACAGGAUUAGAUACCCUGGUAGUCCACGCCGUAAACGAUGUGUGCUGGAUGUUGGGGUUCAUAGAACCUCAGUGUCGUAGCUAACGCGAUAAGCACACCGCCUGGGGAGUACGGCCGCAAGGUUGAA